rnacentral:lncRNA from 1 species
GUCCGGAAUCCAUCUGCUGGAGAGGUUCGGAUGGGAUCCUGUUCUCGCGAGAGGUCGAGAGGGGACCAUCCAUUGUAGGAGCUCGGGCGAGGACCAGUUAUCGUGGAAGCUUGGAGUGGUGUCCCGUCAUAGUAGUUCGUCCAGAAUCCACUCGCUACGGAGUAGCUCGGCUGAAGUCCACCUGUAAUAGAAGUUCGAAAGAAAUUUAUUUAUAGUAGAGGCUUGAAUGAAAUUUGCUUACAGUAGUCAUCUGGGAUAGCCAGCCUGCGGU